CUGAGUCAAAGCCAAACUUGGAGUGAUCCAAGGUCGGAAAGUUACAGGUCUUUAGGGCAACCUUAAGAUGGCUGGACCGCCUUA
rnacentral:ncRNA from 1 species